AACKKGCWMKGCGMGCGAGGCAUAAKSAGCUUGCUCUUAUGAGWUAGCGGGGACGGGUGAGUAACACGYGGGUAACCUGCCCAUMARACUGGGAUAACUCCGGGAAACCGGGGCUAAUACCGGAUAACAUUUUGAACYGCMUGGUUCGAAAUUGAAAGGCGGCUUCSGCUGUCMCUUAUGGAUGGACCCGCGUCGCAUUARCUAGUUGGUGAGGUAACGGCUCACCAAGGCAACGAUGCGUAGCCKACCUGAGAGGGUGAUCGGCCACACUGGGACUGAGACACGGCCCAGACUCCUACGGGAGGCAGCAGUAGGGAAUCUUCCGCAAUGGACGAAAGUCUGACGGAGCAACGCCGCGUGAGUGAUGAAGGCUUUCGGGUCGUAAAACUCUGUUGUUAGGGAAGAACAAGUGCUAGUUGAAUAAGCUGGCACCUUGACGGUACCUAACCAGAAAGCCACGGCUAACUMYGUGCCAGCAGCCGCAAA
rnacentral:rRNA from 1 species